rnacentral:rRNA from 1 species
CUGAUUUGAAGAGCUUGCUCAGAUAUGACGAUGGACAUUGCAAAGAGUGGCGAACGGGUGAGUAACACGUGGGAAACCUACCUCUUAGCAGGGGAUAACAUUUGGAAACAGAUGCUAAUACCGUAUAACAAUGACAACCGCAUGGUUGUUAUUUAAAAGAUGGUUCUGCUAUCACUAAGAGAUGGUCCCGCGGUGCAUUAGCUAGUUGGUAAGGUAAUGGCUUACCAAGGCGAUGAUGCAUAGCCGAGUUGAGAGACUGAUCGGCCACAAUGGGACUGAGACACGGCCCAUACUCCUACGGGAGGCAGCAGUAGGGAAUCUUCCACAAUGGGCGAAAGCCUGAUGGAGCAACGCCGCGUGUGUGAUGAAGGGUUUCGGCUCGUAAAACACUGUUGUAAGAGAAGAAUGACAUUGAGAGUAACUGUUCAAUGUGUGACGGUAUCUUACCAGAAAGGAACGGCUAAAUACGUGCCAGCAGCCGCGGUAAUACGUAUGUUCCAAGCGUUAUCCGGAUUUAUUGGGCGUAAAGCGAGCGCAGACGGUUAUUUAAGUCUGAAGUGAAAGCCCUCAGCUCAACUGAGGAAUUGCUUUGGAAACUGGAUGACUUGAGUGCAGUAGAGGAAAGUGGAACUCCAUGUGUAGCGGUGAAAUGCGUAGAUAUAUGGAAGAACACCAGUGGCGAAGGCGGCUUUCUGGACUGUAACUGACGUUGAGGCUCGAAAGUGUGGGUAGCAAACAGGAUUAGAUACCCUGGUAGUCCACACCGUAAACGAUGAGUGCUAGGUGUUUGAGGGUUUCCGCCCUUAAGUGCCGCAGCUAACGCAUUAAGCACUCCGCCUGGGGAGUACGACCGCAAGGUUGAAACUCAAAGGAAUUGACGGGGACCCGCACAAGCGGUGGAGCAUGUGGUUUAAUUCGAAGCAACGCGAAGAACCUUACCAGGUCUUGACAUCCCUUGACAACUCCAGAGAUGGAGCGUUCCCUUCGGGGACAAGGUGACAGGUGGUGCAUGGUUGUCGUCAGCUCGUGUCGUGAGAUGUUGGGUUAAGUCCCGCAACGAGCGCAACCCUUAUUACUAGUUGCCAGCAUUCAGUUGGGCACUCUAGUGAGACUGCCGGUGACAAACCGGAGGAAGGUGGGGAUGACGUCAAAUCAUCAUGCCCCUUAUGACCUGGGCUACACACGUGCUACAAUGGCGUAUACAACGAGUUGCCAACCCGCGAGGGUGAGCUAAUCUCUUAAAGUACGUCUCAGUUCGGAUUGUAGGCUGCAACUCGCCUACAUGAAGUCGGAAUCGCUAGUAAUCGCGGAUCAGCACGCCGCGGUGAAUACGUUCCCGGGUCUUGUACACACCGCCCGUCACACCAUGAGAGUUUGUAACACCCAAAGCCGGUGG